rnacentral:rRNA from 1 species
CGGAGAGGGCGCCUGAGAAACGGCUACCACUUCUAAGGAAGGCAGCAGGCGCGCAAAUUACCCAAUCCUGACUCAGGGAGGUAGUGACAAGAAAUAACAAUAAACCGGCUUAUGCCGGUUUAAUUGGAAUGAGUACAAUUUAAACAUCUUAACGAGGAACAAUUGGAGGGCAAGUCUGGUGCCAGCAGCCGCGGUAAUUCCAGCUCCAAUAGCGUAUACUAAAGUUGUUGCAGUUAAAAAGCUCGUAGUUGGAUUUCUGCGGGGACGGAGCGGCCGGUCGCAACUUGCGACUCGAGCUAGCGCUUUCCCCGCAUCCUGCCGCGAACCGUGCUACCAUUAGCUUGGUGGCGCUGGGGAUCGGCUCGAUUACUUUGAGAAAAAUAGAGUGUUCAAAGCAGGCCACACGCCUUGAAUAAGUUAGCAUGGAAUAAUGACUAAGGACUUCGGUUCUAUUUUGUUGGUGUUCGGGACUGAAGUAAUGAUUGAUAGGGACAGUUGGGGCGGUCUGUAUUCCAAAGCGAGAGGUGAAAUUCUUAGACCUUCGGAAGACAAACAGCUGCGAAAGCGUUCCGCAAGGAUGUUCCCUUUGAUCAAGAACGAAAGUUGGGGAUCGAAGACGAUCAGAUACCGUCGUAGUCUCAACUAUAAACUAUACCAGCUAGGGAUCGGUCAACGUUUAAUCAUUCGACUUGAUCGGCACCUUAUGAGAAAUCAAAGCAUCUGGGUUCCGGGGGGAGUAUGGUCGCAAGGCUGAAACUUAAAGGAAUUGACGGAAGGGCACCACCAGCCGUGGAGCCUGUGGCUUAAUUUGACUCAACACGGGAAAACUUACCAGGUCCAGACAUAGUAAGGAUUGACAGAUUGAUAGCUCUUUCUUGAUUCUGUGGGUGGUGGUGCAUGGCCGUUCUUAGUUGGUGGAGUGAUUUGUCUGGUUAAUUCCGUUAACGAACGAGACCCCAGCCUGCUAAAUAGCGCGGCUGAGCUUUGCUCGGUGCGAGCUUCUUAGAGGGACUAUGAUGCGCGAUAGCACAUGGAAGUUUGGGGCAAUAACAGGUCUGUGAUGCCCUUAGAUGUUCUGGGCCGCACACGGGCUACACUGGCGCCUGCAACGAGCAUAUCAGCUGGCCCGAGAGGGUCUUGGCUAAUCUUUUGAACCGGCGCCGUGCUUGGGAUUGACCAUUGCAAUUGUUGGUCAUGCAACGAGGAAUGCCUUGUAAACGCGAGUCAUCAGCUCGCAUUGAAUACGUCCCUGCCCUUUGUACACACCGCCCGUCGCUCCUACCGAUGAAUGUUCCGAUGAAAUUUUCGGAGAGCGCCAGAGAACGGGGCUCUGCCUUGCAGAUCUGGAGGCUCAAAGUCACUUAAAUCUGAACAUUUCGAGGAAGGAGAAGUCGUAACAAGGUAACC